UGAAAUACCACCCUUUAAUGUUUGAUGUUCUAACGUGGACCCGUUACCCGGGUUGCGGACAGUGUCUGGUGGGUAGUUUGACUGGGGCGGUCUCCUCCUAAAGAGUAACGGAGGAGCACGAAGGUUGGCUAAUCCUGGUCGGACAUCAGGAGGUUAGUGCAAUGGCAUAAGCCAGCUUGACUGCGAGCGUGACGGCGCGAGCAGGUGCGAAAGCAGGUCAUAGUGAUCCGGUGGUUCUGAAUGGAAGGGCCAUCGCUCAACGGAUAAAAGGUACUCCGGGGAUAACAGGCUGAUACCGCCCAAGAGUUCAUAUCGACGGCGGUGUUUGGCACCUCGAUGUCGGCUCAUCACAUCCUGGGGCUGAAGUAGGUCCCAAGGGUAUGGCUGUUCGCCAUUUAAAGUGGUACGCGAGCUGGGUUUAGAACGUCGUGAGACAGUUCGGUCCCUAUCUGCCGUGGGCGCUGGAGAACUGAGGGGGGCUGCUCCUAGUACGAGAGGACCGGAGUGGACGCAUCACUGGUGUUCGGGUUGUCAUGCCAAUGGCACUGCCCGGUAGCUAAAUGCGGAAGAGAUAAGUGCUGAAAGCAUCUAAGCACGAAACUUGCCCCGAGAUGAGUUCUCCCUGAGACUUAGAGUCUCCUGAAGGAACGUUGAAGACGACGACGUUGAUAGGCCGGGUGUGUAAGCGCAGCGAUGCGUUGAGCUAACCGGUACUAAUGAACCGUGAGGCUUAACCUUACA
rnacentral:rRNA from 1 species